rnacentral:rRNA from 1 species
UUGACCUCGGAUCAGGUAGGGAUACCCGCUGAACUUAAGCAUAUAUA